CUUUACCCCCUAGUCUGGAGGAGUGUCCUCGGCUGCUGUCUCCUAUAAUCAGCUGCAGGCUGGCAGCUGCUAUGAAGCCCUCUUGUCGCCGACUCAGAUUUUUCACCAGCCUGAAGGAUGAAUAUUGGAUGACGUCUCCGCAUUUGAUGGUGAUGCUGUCUGGUCCAUUUUGAAGACAGUCGGCCAAAGCCCUGUAUCUGCCUGGAGCCUAACACAGAAGGAAAAACUGUCAAGCACAAACUGCACCAAAACCUCCUCCUCUGUAUCAGAUGGGUGGAAAGCGUCCCGACCUCCAGACCACUCCUCCAGACCCUCGCAGAUGUCUACCGAGUGAUGAGCGCCGGGCCAACCUGGGACACGGACAUUACUCUGGCUAUUAGAGACCUCUAAGCAGCUUCUGCUGGUUCGUUAGGAUUCUGCGCAGCUCAUUGAGCCAGGCCAUCUUCACCUCCAAUGUAGGAGCCUGACAGACAACAGAAACAUCGCAACAGGCUGAACAAGACGGUCAGCGGAUUACAACAUUCUGUAUGUACUGUACUUCUUUCUAUCAUAGGCUAGUUACAAUGCUGCCAUUUCUUCUGUUGGGCCUGUAUCUGCUGUUUGGUCAAUAAACACCCUAGUGGUAUCUAAGGUAUUUGCCAUUUUAAUUGUUAAUUAAUAUGAAAUCUUAGUGAGUACAGUAAAAGUAAGUGCUGAAUUAUUAGUCACAUACUGUCUUUAACCUGCUGAACUCGGUAGCAUUGAACUUUUUUUUAGA